rnacentral:rRNA from 1 species
CCUACGGGUGGCUGCAGUAGGGGAUAUUGGUCAAUGGGCGAAAGCCUGAACCAGCAACGCCGCGUGUGCGAUGAAGGCCUUCGGGUUGUAAAGCACUUUUUACCGGGAAGAGGAAGGACGGUACCGGUAGAAUAAGCCUCGGCUAACUACGUGCCAGCAGCCGCGGUAAAACGUAGGAGGCGAGCGUUAUCCGGAUUUACUGGGUGUAAAGCGCGUGCAGGCGGACGAGUAAGUUGGGUGUGAAAGCCCCCGGCUCAACUGGGGGAGGGCGCUCAAGACUGCUGGUCUAGAGGACGGUAAGGGAAGGUGGAAUUCCGGGUGUAGUGGUGAAAUGCGUAGAUAUCCGGAGGAACACCAGUGGCGAAGGCGGCCUUCUGGGCCGUUCCUGACGCUCAGACGCGAAAGCUAGGGGAGCAAACGGGAUUAGAUACCCCUGUAGUC